rnacentral:ncRNA from 2 species
GCGGAAGAGAUCGUGCAAGGUGCCGCCACGCGGAUUCGCCGCAGCGGUUAAACGGGAAACAGGUGGAUUUCGCGCAACGCUCGAUGCGCAACAGAAUGCCUGUGCUGCCCCCGCAACGGUAAGCGAGUGUGGGCCUGUCGAAAUGCCACUGGGCAAAAGCCUGGGAAGGCGGCAGGUCAAGACUCGCGAGCCCGGAUACCGGCCUUCGCACACCACAGGAC